rnacentral:rRNA from 1 species
UACGGGGGGGGCAAGCGUUGUUCGGAAUUACUGGGCGUAAAGGGCUCGUAGGCGGCCAACUAAGUCGGAUGUGAAAGCCCCGGGCUCAACCUGGGAAUUGCAUUGGUGACUGGCGGGCUGGAGUAUGGCAGAGGGGGGUAGAAUUCCGCGUGUAGCAGUGAAAUGCGUAGAGAUGCGGAGGAACACCGAUGGCGAAGGCAGCCCCCUGGGCUAGCACUGACGCUCAGGCACGAA